GACGAACGCUGGCGGCGUGCUUAACACAUGCAAGUCGAGCGGAGCGGCGAACGGGCGAGCAACGCGUGAGUAUCUGCCCCCCUCCCUGGGAUAACAGUUGGAAACGGCUGCUAAUACCGGAUAGUGGGGGUUGACUCGCGUCCUAUCAGCUUGUUGGUGGGGUAGUGGCCUACCGAGGCGACGACGGGUAGCCGGCCUGAGAGGGCGACCGGCCACAUUGGGCUGGGAUACGGCCCAGACGGCUACGGGGGGCAGCGGUGGGAAAUAUUGCGCAAUGGGGGAGACGCUGAUGCAGCGGCGCCGCGUGCGUGAUGCCGGCCUUCGGGUUGUAAACCGCUUUCAGCCAUGACGCGGUAGUGGCAGAAGAAGCACCGGCUAACUACGUGCCAGCAGCCGCGGUAAUAC
rnacentral:rRNA from 1 species